rnacentral:rRNA from 1 species
UACAGAGGGGGCAAGCGUUGUUCGGAAUUACUGGGCGUAAAGGGCGCGUAGGCGGCCUGCUAAGUCGAACGUGAAAUCCCCGGGCUCAACCCGGGAACUGCGUCCGAUACUGGCAGGCUUGAAUUCGGGAGAGGGAUGCGGAAUUCCAGGUGUAGCGGUGAAAUGCGUAGAUAUCUGGAGGAAUACCGGUGGCGAAGGCGGCAUCCUGGACCGAGAUUGACACUGAUGAGCGAAAGCUAGGGGAGCAAACGGG